AUGUUUAUUUAUGUUUAUUAUCAGAAAAUUCAAACAAGUACGGUCAGUGGCGGGUCCAUCGCUGCAUGGCAUCCCGCUGCACCCAGGAGCCGCAGUGCUUGGGGGCACGCGGGACGUGAGGGGAGCAGGUUACGAUGGGCUUCCUGCAACACCUGGAGAUUGGCGCUCGCUGCCGCCCUUCUGGAAGGUUCCACGCAGGGUGGGAACGCUGGCGGUGAGGCAGCAGUGCCACCAGCCCCUCGAGGACGGCGCCCAUCUGCGGGCUGCGUGUGUGCGGCUGCUGAACGACGGCAGCGGGGCGGCAUUCGGCUGAGGAGCGGGCAGAACGGUGUGUGUUAGAGAAGGUUGGUACGUUCUGUGGACUUGUGGGUUGUGCAAAAGAAGUGCACUGCACAAAUGGAGAUUUAAUAUUUCCUUUUUUUAUUGUGAUUUAUGCAGUCUGAGCGCUCACAUUCCUGAACAAAAUACAUUAAAUAUUUGUUGUGCCAAUACACCAACUCUUUCCACGUUCUCGUUCUGAAAAAGGAACAUACCUUAUCUAAUAAAGCUUGAGGAAGUUCUGCUGCUUUUUUUUUU
rnacentral:lncRNA from 1 species